AUUGAACGCUGGCGGCAUGCUUUACACAUGCAAGUCGAACGGUAACAGGCCGCAAGGUGCUGACGAGUGGCGAACGGGUGAGUAAUGCAUAGGAACGUGCCCAGUCGUGGGGGAUAACUACUCGAAAGAGUAGCUAAUAACGCAUACGAUCUAUGGAUGAAAGCGGGGGACCGUAAAGCCUCGCGCGAUUGGAGAGGGCGAUGUCAGAUUAGGUAGUUGGUGGGGUAAAGGCUCACCAAGCCAACGAUCUGUAGCUGGUCUGAGAGGACGACCAGCCACACUGGGACUGAGACACGGCCCAGACUCCUACGGGAGGCAGCAGUGGGGAAUUUUGGACAAUGGGCGCAAGCCUGAUCCAGCAAUGCCGCGUGCAGGAAGAAGGCCUUCGGGUUGUAAACUGCUUUUGUACGGAACGAAACGGCUCUGGUUAAUACCCGGGGCUAAUGACGUUACCGUAAGAAUAAGCACCGGCUAACUACGUG
rnacentral:rRNA from 1 species